GUUUCUUUACCAGGAAUGGUGGAACCUUCUACAAAGCCUCACACUGCCUGUUUGGAGAAGAAAAGGCAACAUCGAACCCCGCCUUGUGGGUUUGUUACCCACUUGGGGACUCAUCCAGGAUCCGUUCCUCGUGGAUUGGUGGCCAAGGAGUGGGGAGAGACUUUAAAGGCUCUGUAGCAGCUGCCUGGCUGAGUUUCUGCAGAGGAGGCAUUUUUUUCAUGAGAUCUCUGUGAUUACUGAUCUGUCUGAUGGAUGAAGGAAAUGAUGAAGAUAAGAUAAAUAAAAUUCAAG